UACGUAGGGGCCGAGCGUUGUCCGGAGUUAUUGGGCGUAAAGGGCGCGUAGGCGGUGUGUCAAGUCAGGCGUGAAAGCCCCGGGCUCAACCUGGGAACAGCGCUUGAGACUGGCACGCUCGAGUUCGGGAGAGGAUGGUGGAAUUCCCAGUGUAGAGGUGAAAUUCGUAGAUAUUGGGAAGAACACCGAUGGCGAAGGCAGCCAUCUGGACCGACACUGACGCUGAGGCGCGAAAGCGUGGGGAGCAAACAGG
rnacentral:rRNA from 1 species